GCUUGGGAAGGGCUUGUUGGAUGGGCAGGAUUUGCUGCUCUGCAGCCUCCGCUGGGGCUCACCUUGGUUGUGUGAUUUAAGGUCCAGCCAUCGUGGAUGGAGGUGCUGGUGGAAGGGAUGCUUCAACUCCCAAAGGUCUGGAAUGUCACUGAGUUUUUGAGGAGAGAAAAGGGAUUUUAAUGCAAAGAUUCUUUCUGCAAUGGAUGCUGAGGCUCUGGCUUCACCUUGGGCGGCUUUAGGGUCUGAUCCCACUUGGCUCACUCUCUGCAAGAGCCCAGACAGAUUGAGGGUUUGGGGCUGAUUUCGGGCGCCACAUGGCCGUGGGUUAAGCCUGAGCCCCAAUUCCCACCACCGUUCCCACCAGGUUUCAUCAGGAAAACAUCCAGACCUGGUCAAAAUCCUCCCUGGCGGCGUAAACCCGAGGGUGUCGAAAUUUGGGAGAGCUGUAAAUCUCGUGUUUGUAAAAUCUUUAAGCCUUCGUCUGCAACACACAGUGACCAUGGAUGCUGUUGGCUCUUCAGGAGGGUGUUUGGUGCUGGCUUUCCUUGGAUGGGGAUUUGAGCCCAUCCAGCACAAAUGAGCCAAAAUUGUGUCUUUUGUGACACAAUUCCUGAGGCAGGAGGGAAGGGAAUGAUUCCUCUGGGAACCGGGCAGGCGGCACACAGGGAGGAACUGUCCAGCAGCGGUUUUUUUUAAUAUUAGUGGCCCAAAUAUUGACCUGGAGAGAACCCAGAGGACAGCGCCGUGUUCAUCCCCUUGGAUUUCGGAUUUACAGCCAUUUUUUGGAGGGUGAAUAUUUUUAUAGAGGAGUGAGAAGCUGCUGAUUUAUUUCAGUGCCCAGCAAACCAUAGAAUUGUGGAAUAUCCUGAGCUGGAAGGGUCCCACAAAAAUCAAGGAUAAUAAUCCCAGUGGGCUGAAACCUCUUCAUUACAUAUCCCAAAUAUAUAUGGAAACAUCUGCUGUGA